GGGGCGGCUAUGGGGCUCUAUGGGGCUCUAUGGGGCGGCUAUGGGGCUCUAUGGGGCUCUAUGGGGCGGCUAUGGGGGGCUAUGGGGCUCUAUGGGGCUCUAUGGGGCUCUAUGGGGCGGCUAUGGGGCUCUAUGGGGCUCUAUGGGGCGGCUAUGGGGCUGUAGGGCAAAUGAAGGAGAUGACAAAGCCUUUAUUUAAGAAAUAGGCACACGAGGGGAAGAUAUGAAAAAGAAUGGACUCCCCCCUCCCGGUAGCAGCGCGCAGCCCGAGCCGAGCUGAGCAAUGUGUCCCUCCCCCGUUCGUACCGCCGCGCCGCCGCACUCACACACUCACAGAGCGCACCCAUUGGUUCAGGCUGUGACCCUGCAAUUCCACCACACUCCACCCCUUCACAGCAUGAACCAAUGACUGAGCAGGUAGGGGGUGAGCCCCUGCAACCUGGUGGCCCAAGACACAAUGCGCAUCGCGACGCAUGCACAACACCCGCCGCAAUAUAGGAUGUCAAAACAAUAAAGGCAAUCAGUGGCAGUCCCCUUCACGGUUCUGUUGGGCCAGUACUUGAUGUUCUUCCUCGAGGCGUAUCUUUUUCAAGGACCAGUAGCGCUUCUGAUUCAUGCUCUCCAGUCCCCAAAAGUUCAGCAGUGCGUCACAGGGUGUCAUGAUGUUUCCUCAUAAGCGUGUUUGAGUGAUGUUGCUCCUGCGGGCCAUCCUGUGAACUUAAAACCUCAAGGGGAGUAAAGCAGAUGUUUAAUAGGUACGAGGAGGGGUCGGUCCGCCCUCCACGGUAAGAUGUAGGCUGUAUUUCGGUCUUGAGUCAACACCUCUGCCUGUAUCGGGGCACGUCCUGGCCUUCGAUACCACACUCUUUGGCCCGAAAUCUGCGACUGAAUCACUAUAUCGGGUACCAAAGGGGGGGUUCUAAUUUGCCACAUGGACAUGAUUAAUGUCCCCCUUGCAAUGAAAACAGGGGUGUCAACUAUUACCUCUGUUGGCCAUACACCGAUUACUGAAGGGUUUACUGAUCCCCCAACCUCUAACAAUCUCCCCCAAGGUGCAAGGAGACCACACCAUUUUGGUCCUGCUUGCACCUUCCAAGGCCAUUUUACCUUGUGUCUCCCGGGCUCUAGGUCAUCAGGGGCAGGGAGCAGAAGAUUAUUCAUUGUGCCAACUUGUGGCUUGAGUGAGGUGUCCUUGCUUGUAAUUUGUAUCCUAAGCGGGGAGGCCCAAGUUGUCUGCAGCAUUUUUAAAGCACUGGGUCUGCCAUCUCUUGGUCUCUCAUUCAAGUCUCGCAGGGUUUCAUAAAGCCUUUUGGUCCACCCCUGCAAGGACUGUGAAUCUGCCUUCAGAGCAGCCUUCAGGAUCCCAUUGUAUCUUUCUAUUAGGCCUGCUCCCGUUGGAUUGUAGGGCAGGUGAAACCGCCAUUCAAUGUUAUUGUCUUCAGCCCACUUCUGCACAGUUGCACCUGUGAAAUGUGUACCUUGAUCACUCUCAAUAACCUCAGGAGUCCCGUAUGAUGCCAUCAAUCUAGUUAGAGCUUUGAUGGUAUAGGCUUGGUUUGCCUUUGCUACAGGAUAGGCUUGCAUCAGUCCACUCGCUGUAUCGACACAAGUUAGGGCAUAUCUGGCCCCCUCAGAUCGAGGAAGGGGACCUAUAUAAUCCAUCUGCCAUCGCUGCAAUGGGUUGUGUCCUCUAGCGAGAUGG
rnacentral:lncRNA from 1 species